CAACAUUCUCCAGGUCUGGUCUGAAUUUGGGAGGGCUAACUUGCCUAAUUUUAGAGGUGUUGUGCCCAAGAGGAAUGGAGGCCGGGUUUCCUUGCUUCUUUACCAAUCUACUUAUUGGUUUCCUGUUCAACUCCCUUCCUUUGCUUAAUUAAAGCAAUGAAAGGGAUCAGAAUCUAUUGGUGUUAAGAAGUCAGCCUCAGUACUAAGAGAAAGAAGGAAAGAAUGAAGGAAAGAAAGAAAGAACAAUGAAAGCAUUGUUAGGAUUCUUACGUCACACUGACUUGCCAGUCUACAUUCCUGGUCCAGUAAAUGCUCCAGUGAUGUAGAAGAGGAUACGUGGAAGGGAAAGUUCAAGCAAGAAUGGCAUGGACCAUUUAUGCUGACCAGAAAGAUAUGGCAGCAAGAGUGUAUCUGAUAGGCAGCAAACUGUGCCAGUAGCCUGAAACAGAAUUAUUUGGAUUAAGG
rnacentral:lncRNA from 1 species